GUCGGCGUAGAGCAGCCCGGUAGCUCGUCAGGAAGGCCGCAGGUUCGAAUCCUGUCGCCGCAACCA
rnacentral:tRNA from 1 species